GACGAACGCUGGCGGCGUGCUUAACACAUGCAAGUCGAACGAGGGAAUUGAAAGCUUGCUUUUGAAACCCGAGUGGCAAACGGGUGAGUAACGCGUAGGCAACCUGCCGUUGAGAUGGGGACAACAUCCCGAAAGGGGUGCUAAUACCGAAUGUUGUGGGAGCUCCGCAUGGAGCACCCACUAAAGAUGACCUCUCCUUGGAAGUUAUCGCUCAACGAUGGGCCUGCGUCUGAUUAGCUAGUUGGUGGGGCAACGGGCCUACCAAGGCGACGAUCAGUAGCCGGUCUGAGAGGAUGAACGGCCACAUUGGAACUGAGACACGGUCCAGACUCCUACGGAGGCAGCAGUGGGAAUCUUCCGCAAUGGGCGAAAGCCUGACGGAGCAACGCCGCGUGAGUGAAG
rnacentral:rRNA from 1 species